rnacentral:rRNA from 1 species
GUCCCCUUCGGGGGACGAGUAGAGUGGCGUCCGGGUGAGUAACACGUGAGUAAUUUGCCUUCGGGUGGGGAAUAACAGCCGGAAACGGCUGCUAAUACCGCAUGAUGCAGCGGCACCUCAUGGUGACAGUUGUUAAAGCGGGGGAUCGCAAGACCUCGCGCCUGAAGAGAAGCUCGCGGCAGAUUAGCUAGUUGGUAGGGUAACGGCCUACCAAGGCUACGAUCUGUAGCCGGCCUGAGAGGGCGGUCGGCCACACUGACACUGACACACGGGUCAGACUCCUACGGGAGGCAGCAGUCGGGAAUUUUGGGCAAUGGGCGAAAGCCUGACCCAGCAACGCCGCGUGAAGGAUGAAGUUUUUCGGAAUGUAAACUUCACAAGAAUGGGAAGAAUAAGUGGGGGCUAAUACCCCCCAUGAUGACGGUACCAUUUGUAAGCUCCGGCUAACUCCGUGCCAGCAGCCGCGGUAAUACGGGGGGAGCAAGCGUUGUUCGGAUUUACUGGGCGUAAAGGGCGCGUAGGCGGCGCAACAAGUCAGUUGUGAAAUCUCUGGGCUUAACCCAGAGCGGUCAACUGAUACUGUCGUGCUAGAGUGCGGAAGGGGCAGCUGGAAUUCUCGGUGUAGCGGUGAAAUGCGUAGAUAUCGAGAGGAACACCUGCGGCGAAGGCGGGUUGCUGGGCCGACACUGACGCUGAGGCGCGAAAGCUAGGGGAGCGAACGGGAUUGGAUACCCCGGUAGUCCUAGCCUUAAACGAUGGAUGC